AAAGUCGUAACAAGGUUUCCGUAGGUGAACCUGCGGAAGGAUCAUUAGUGAGUGAUGUUGUGGCGUUUGCUGCGACGAUACUUGCUCUCGCAAGAGAGUGAGCAGGGUGUUAGUUGGUGAUGGUGGAGUGGUAGGGUGUGGUAUUGCGUGUUUUGCCAAGUGCAAGAUGGGCAAUACUGCAUAACUGCUUCCCAUCACGGAAACUGCACUUGAAACGUAUGUCAUGAACUAGCCAUCAACCAAACAAUAUAAAAAUUACUUUUAACAACGGAUCUCUGGGCUCCC
rnacentral:misc_RNA from 1 species